UUGUUGUUUUAAGCAGUUACGAAAGGUGCUCAUUUGGCUAAACUUUGACCUAAUUUUGCCUCAAUGCAAAAAGCGUCAUAACUUCUGAAUAUGUGAGAAAGGUUGAGCACAAUGAGUGGCUGGAACCGGGAACGCUCCUGGUAGUGACAAGCAACAGAGUCCAGCGCACCAGGUCCCAUCGCACCUAUCAGUUGGUUGUGAACUGGAGGCUUGUCCAAGGUUGCUGGAUCAUUUUAAUAUGCCAGAAGACCCCGUAAGGCAACAUGAGUUUGGCACCUGGCACAGACGCAAGCUCGCUCAGGGUACACAGCUGAAUUGGAGAUGGAUUCACCUUGCACCUCUGCCACAGCAACACAAACUAGACUGAAACUAGACUACUUCUGUUUUAAGUAGGAUUCAUCUCACAUUCUCCACAGGAAAAUUGCUGCGGUGAAGAUUUUGAGCACCUUGUACUACUGGCAACAACAGCAGCAGAGUAAAUAAGCUGCCCAGGCAAAAAUAAAAGCCUGGCUACAUCUAAAGGUCAGAAGGCAAAUGUUAUACCUGUGUCAGGCACUAGGUCCCCCUGGGUUCCUAUGCCUGACAUCCUCAGGAAAAUCAACAGUAGAAAAAGCCAUUGACCUGAUAGCAUUUUAUCUGCGUACUGAUAAGCUCUGAUUAAGUGUUAAUUGGCCAGUUGAAUAUCUAGAUACCGUGCAAUAACUAUCAAACAUGUUUCAUAUAGAAAUAAACCAACAAGAAUAAAUUCAAAAAAUCUGUGGGGAUUUUGUUGCUGGUCUUUUAAAUUAAAGGAGGCAUUUCUGUCUGGUAAGAGAGUGAUAGUGAGCUCAGGCUCAUGAAAGCUCAAGCAUCUCUGACUUAGUCUAUAAGGUGCAAAUCUACCCUGCCUUCAUUUCUGCCUGGUGACCAGGGUAGGUUAUUCCCAUCCAAGAGGUGUCCCUAUCACAAAGACAAGCCACUUACUAGCAACGACAUCUCGGUAGAGGAACCAUGGAGACACUUUCUCAUUUCUCAUCAUGGCACACUGGUUCUCUUGAACCUAUUGCUUUUGAUCAUACACCAGUAUCCAGAUCUAGAAGCCUGACAUCAUUCAGAAGCAAAUUAAUGCAAUUUGAAGAGAAACUUUUUAUCACAUUGGCUUAAAAAACUGACAAGUGCAAAUUAAUCUUGACUGAUUUGCAUAAUGCAAAUACUGGAAAACAGUGUAACCCAUUUAGUAACCUUUACCACUUAAUUAUUUAGUCAUUUGUACUGCAGCGGCACCUGGAAGAUAGAGCCCCGUUGUACCAGACACCAAUAUGUAAUAGAGGCGUUCUCUGCCCAGGAGAUUUUACAAGAUGAGACAAAUGGAUAUGAAUGGCAGCCCAAGGGAGCCUAACAGUGAGACCACUACGAGCAGAGCGAAAGAAGUAAUUGCAGCACGCUGUUACUUAGCCAUUAAGUGUUCUGGAUACAUCUAUGGACUUACAAAAAGUGUAAAGGAGAAAUUAAUGUUGGCUUUGUGGAUCAUGAAAGAGGCUUCUUUUAUUCAGAGAAGGUGUCAUGGCAAACAUGUACACAGCAAACAUCUACAUCUAUAUUAGCUGUUUAUCAGUGAAAGAGUUUGCUAUGUAUUUGGUCAUAGUCUUUAUAAAUUGUAGUUUGCCACAAGAGAAGGGGAAAUGAUCAUAAAACCAUGUAGCUGUUGGCAUAAAUUAGGAGUGACUGCACUAGUGUUUGUGAAGUUAUACCAAAGUAAGUGAGAUCGGAAUCAGACCUGAAGAAGUUUUGCACACUUCUGGAGUCCUCUGUGUUAACAGAGACCUGUCCCCACAACUCCUGGGUGACUUCAGUGUCCAUGUAGCAAGACGAGCUACUACGUUAGUAGCUACGCGGGGAACCCUUGUCAUCCAGGACACAGGGACGCAUUAAUGCUGACUUUGCAAGGUCAAUACCCACUUGCUCUGGGUUCAUUUCAACGUGGAGGCAGAAUUUGAACUCCUUUGGGCUGUGCCCGUAAUUCAUGGGUAUAUUUUGAACAAGGACGAGACAGUCUCAUCUGCUGGCACUUUCAUUAACUUCCGAGAGCUGAUGGUCACCCAGCCAGGCACUUCUCAGAACUGUGUUCCUGAUUAAAGAUUAACAAUGUGAUAAAAAAGCAAGGAAACAUGGGCAUCCUUGAAACCUGCUUCUUUCAUCAGCCGAGUUAAACCUUUACUAUCUCUUUCUACUUGUACAUCCUCCCUCUGUGUUUGUGGGAAUCCACCUUUGCCUGCCCCUAGCAUGUUUUCUCUCAUUAAAUCAAAGUUAGUGGGAAAAACCUCUGCUUUCUCAACUUGGUCACUCUGGGACUCCUGCACAAAUAAGCAGAGAAAGCAUUGACCCAUGUGUAUACAAUCUGUAGAAAAAAAGUGUUUCUUAGCUAUUUAGACGUGUUGUCAUUGAGGGGCAAGUAAGGUCUAUAGUCGUGAUACCCUCUUCCUGCAGAACGCUGGAAAUCAGGUGUCUCCCGAAGAAACGUCUAUUGCAAAAGAUGAAUUAAACAACUUAAUCUGGUAUCUUCCAGACAAGAUGCUAAAAGUUAUCCGUCACUGCAUGGAUGCUUUGGAUUCAAGGCUUCUAAAGGGGCACCUGAUGAAAAGGUUGGUAGGCAAGUUUCAAUUUAUGGUUAAAAAAAAACCCAAAACUUUCCUGUUCAAUCUGUGUGCAAUCAUCCCUCCCCCUCAGGGCUUUCAGCUAUAUAGAGCUUAUAUUAAAUCCUUGCUCUUGUAUACAUUUCACAUCAAUCUAAUAUUAUACCAUAUCUAUGUCCUGUGAGGGGCCAUGUAGGUUCAUAGUGCUAUAUAAUUAUAAUCAUUAAUAGCAUUGGGUGGGAUUCUCAAAAGCACAAAUGUGAUUUCAGAGCAAAACUCCUACUGGCUUUUAAUAAAACUCUCUUCAGUGUUUUUAAAAAGCCCACCCAUAGUGCUUAAAAAGGGAUGUUUCCCAUUCCCCAACCCAAUUUAGACGUUGGGAUAAAGGCAAGAAGGAGAGCAACCUGUGAAAUUAAGACCCGACUAUGCCUUUAGCACAGACUUCAACAAGGUAUGGUGCAUACAUUGCCUGGUGCAAGGAAGUAUUAUGCCUGAGACACACACCUCUGAAUCCUAGCUUCUCCUUGCUUCAAUUUUGUUGUGGCAAGACGGUUGUAAUUUUAUUGCUAGCCUCCUCUUCUAUCCAUCACUUGCUUUGGGGAGGGAGCAACAGAACAAGUAGAGACCCACUUAAAUGCUUAGCUCCAAGGACCUACUGGUGCUUAUGUAACUGCAAGGGAAGAUGGUCAUGCUUACAAGUGUAUUGUUCAGGUAGGUAAUCCAAGUCACAAUCGAGUCCUAUAUAUCUUUACAAACCAGGUGAUGGUGAGGAAGGACAUGUUUGCCAUUGAGCUUAGUGUCAAAAGCACGGAGAUGAAUGCUAUUCCAACCAGUGCUGGGGCACUCAGAUACCAAAACAAAAGGUACGCUAUAAAUAUGGCAGAGAUCAGGCAACGGGGAAAAGCAGCACUCUCAAGGAAGAUGACUAUGAAAAUCUUCCCAGAUGCCACUGUGCUGAAACUGCUACCAAAGAUGAAUCCCCCACAAAAUAAGUCACAGCAGGCGAGCAGAUUAGCUGAGGUUUUUGUACAGGUUAAACAGAAGGCAUAACUUGAAUUAGGAUGGACUUUGGUUUGCCAAGAAAGAAUUUCAUAAACUGCACUAGUCUGAGCAGCUGAACAGGUUUGGAGCGGUUCUGCUCAGUGCUUGAGGUCCAGUGGGGAUGGCCUGUUUGCUUAUCUUUCCCUUAACUGACUCAGUCUGUUGCUAUUAUCAUCCCAAUUUGUCCUGACCUCUGACGGGUCACAGAUUCUUCAUUAAAUCACGUCUUAUUGCUUCACAGUUACGUGAGCCCUGGGCCCAAACCAAAACCAUUGAAGUCAUUGGGAAACUUUCUGUUGAUGCCACUGGAGGCUGGAUGAGAGCCCAUCCAAGAUGUGCAGGGAAGGUAUGUGGUGCACCAGGCACUGAUUGGAUUGCACAGGCUCUCCGUUCCCCAGAGCCUACUGCCAAAAAGCAGAGGACGUCAGGAACCAAACUGAAGGCAUUCAUAACUUUGAAGAUCAAGGAUAUUUAUGAUGGAUCAUAAUUGUGAUAUUCUCAUUACAAGUAAUCUAUAGGGAAUGAAUACGAAGGAUCUCCAGUCCACAAAGGACGGCGUAUUCAGAAUUAAGGUGGACGAUCUGGACUGGUGCCCUGAUCUUAACUUAUGCCAAAGUGCAAAAAGUAGAUUGCAAAAGCCAAUCAAGCUGCUUAUCCUCAGUAACAGCCCUCCUUGGACCAAAGUUUGCUGCCUCAUCUUGGUCAAGCUGGCAGCCAGAAUUUGGUCCAUUUACUUCGAAUUUUAACUGCAUAUGUUUCCUAUUGUGCAUUGCUAGAUUCUCAGCAACAAUUUCUCAGUGUUUGUAGCUGAAUUUUCUUUGUCUUUACAUGAUAGUUUGACAAAAAGUUGUGAACUAUUGAAAUUCCAUAAACUUCUCAAUUAGCAAUGGACCAUGCAGAAUAGGUUUACCCUUCCCUUAAAAAGAUGUUUAAAAAACACACUUUGUUCAUGACAUUAAUGCAUGUUCUUGGUCAGCUAGUGUGAAAUGGAGUAUUAAGAGUAGUGGGUAAGAAGCCGUCUGGUUGUACUUAGAUGUAGAUAAUACAGUAGACAGUAUUGGUAAUUGUAGAGAUGGUUUAAUCAAUAGACUGUAAUGAGCACUGCAGCCUCUAUAGUGUCAAAACUUCGUUAUUCAGUUUGUGGAUCAUUGAUCCAAGUGAUUCCCUUGAAUUCACUGAAGCGAUAUUCUAAACUGGAGUUACCAAUCCUUGAAAAUAUCAAUUUGAAAUUAUAAUAAUGGUAGACCCUUAAUAAACAGCAUGGAUUAAUAAUGCAAAAGUAAAAAGCAAGACAGACUUGAUGCUGAUGACUGUUGGAAGUGCAAAGCAGCUCAUUAAAAUGACCUAAAGGAAGCUAUAUUAUUUUAAAAAUGUCUUUUUUCCUCACUGCCCCUCAGCUACCUAUUGUAAUGACAUACACCACAGCAAUCUGAAGAGAUUUUAAUACAUGCAAGAAGUACAAGCCUGCAGCUGCCAUUGAGUGUACACAAUGUAAUAUCCAAUUGAAAUGGUAUUCCCCUAAAUCACAAAGGUAGUAUAUAAGCAGUAAAUAAUUGCUUUGCCUUUGAGCUGUCCGCUUAACAAAAAAAACUUAAUGGUUUAAAAUUAUCUGCAUUUAUAAAUGGUAAAAUACAAUGAGAUACAUCUUA